rnacentral:tRNA from 1 species
GGCUUUUAUUUAUUUGGUUGCAACCCAAAUCCUGUAAAGUUAUCUUUAUGAAAGCCU